rnacentral:rRNA from 1 species
AAUCAACGCUGGCGGCAUGCCUAACACAUGCAAGUCGAACGAACCCUUCGGGGUUAGUGGCGCACGGGUGCGUAACGCGUGGGAAUCUGCCCUUGGCUUCGGAAUAACAGUUAGAAAUGACUGCUAAUACCGGAUGAUGUCGCAAGACCAAAGAUUUAUCGGCCAGGGAUGAGCCCGCGUAGGAUUAGGUAGUUGGUGGGGCAGAGGCCUACCAAGCCGACGAUCCUUAGCUGGUCUGAGAGGAUGAUCAGCCACACUGUGACUGAGACACGGCCCAGACUCCUACGGGAGGCAGCAGUGGGGAAUAUUGGACAAUGGGGGCAACCCUGAUCCAGCAAUGCCGCGUGAGUGAUGAAGGCCUUAGGGUUGUAAAGCUCUUUUACCCGGGAUGAUAAUGACAGUACCGGGAGAAUAAGCUCCGGCUAACUCCGUGCCAGCAGCCGCGGUAACAC